GAUGAACGCUGGCGGCGUGCCUAAUACAUGCAAGUCGAGCGAACAGACUAGGAGCUUGCUCCUCUGACGUUAGCGGCGGACGGGUGAGUAACACGUGGAUAACCUACCUAUAAAACUGGGUUAACCUCGGGAAAACGGAGCUAAUACGGGAAAAUAUAUUGAAUCGAAUGGUUAAAUAGUGAAAGACGGUUUUGAUGUUACUUAUAGAUUGAUAUGCGCUGCAUUAGUUUUAGGUGAAUGUAAGGGCUUACAAAGACAACGAGGCGUAGCAGCCCUGAGAGGGUGAUAGGCCACACUGGAACUGAGACACGGUCCAGACUCCUACGGGAGGCAGCAGUAGGGAAUCUUCAGCAAUGGGCGAAGGCCUGAAGGAGCAACGCCGCGGGAGUGAUGAAGGUCUUCGGGUCGUAAGACUCUGUUAUUAGGGAAGAAGAAAAGUGUAAGUAUCUAUGCACGUCUUGACGGUACCAUAUCAGAAAGCCACGGCUAACUACGUG
rnacentral:rRNA from 1 species